CCUACGGGUGGCAGCAGUGGGGGAUAUUGCACCAUGGAGGAAACUCUGAUGCAGCGACGCCGCGUGCGGGAAGACGGUCUUCUGAUUUUAAACCUCUGUCUUUAGGGAAGAAAAUGACGGUACCCAAAUAGGAAGCUCCGUCUAACUACGUUCCAGCAGCCGCGGUAAUACGUAGGUAGCGAGCGUUGUCCGGAUUUACUGGGUGUAAAGGGAGCGUAGGCGGGCGAGAAAGUUGAUUGUUAAAUCUACCGGCUUAACUGGUAGCUGCGUUCAAAACUUCUUGUCUUGAGUGAAGUAGAGGCAGGCGGAAUUCCUAGUGUAGCGGUGAAAUGCGUAGAUAUUAGGAGGAACACCAGUGGCGAAGGCGGCCUGCUGGGCUUUAACUGACGCUGAGGCUCGAAAGCGUGGGGAGCAAACAGGAUUAGAUACCCUUGUAGUC
rnacentral:rRNA from 1 species